rnacentral:rRNA from 1 species
UCGCAUGACGAAAUUUGACGAGCAACCCGCUGAGUAUGAAGUUUUCGAUCGUAAAGUCUGUUUUAGGAAGAACAAGUACCGUUCGAAUAGGGGGUACUUGACGGUACCUAACCAGAAAGCCACGGCUAACUACGUGCCAGCAGCCGCGGUAAUACGUAGGUGGCAAGCGUUGUCCGGAAUUAUUGGGCGUAAAGGGCUCGCAGGCGGUUCCUUAAGUCUGAUGUGAAAGCCCCCGGCUCAACCGGGGAGGGUCAUUGGAAACUGGGGAACUUGAGUGCAGAAGAGGAGAGUGGAAUUCCACGUGUAGCGGUGAAAUGCGUAGAGAUGUGGAGGAACACCAGUGGCGAAGGCGACUCUCUGGUCUGUAACUGACGCUGAGGAGCGAAAGCGUGGGGAGCGAACAGGAUUAGAUACCCUGGUAGUCCACGCCGUAAACGAUGAGUGCUAAGUGUUAGGGGGUUUCCGCCCCUUAGUGCUGCAGCUAACGCAUUAAGCACUCCGCCUGGGGAGUACGGUCGCAAGACUGAAACUCAAAGGAAUUGACGGGGGCCCGCACAAGCGGUGGAGCAUGUGGUUUAAUUCGAAGCAACGCGAAGAACCUUACCAGGUCUUGACAUCCUCUGACAAUCCUAGAGAUAGGACGUCCCCUUCGGGGGCAGAGUGACAGGUGGUGCAUGGUUGUCGUCAGCUCGUGUCGUGAGAUGUUGGGUUAAGUCCCGCAACGAGCGCAACCCUUGAUCUUAGUUGCCAGCAUUCAGUUGGGCACUCUAAGGUGACUGCCGGUGACAAACCGGAGGAAGGUGGGGAUGACGUCAAAUCAUCAUGCCCCUUAUGACCUGGGCUACACACGUGCUACAAUGGACAGAACAAAGGGCAGCGAAACCGCGAGGUUAAGCCAAUCCCACAAAUCUGUUCUCAGUUCGGAUCGCAGUCUGCAACUCGACUGCGUGAAGCUGGAAUCGCUAGUAAUCGCGGAUCAGCAUGCCGCGGUGAAUACGUUCCCGGGCCUUGUACACACCGCCCGUCACACCACGAGAGUUUGUAACACCCGAAGUCGGUGAGGUAACCUUUAUGGAGCCAGCCGCCGAAGGUGGACAGAAGGGG